rnacentral:rRNA from 1 species
UACGGAGGAUGCAAGCGUUAUCCGGAAUGCUUGGGCGUAAAGCGUCCGCAGGUGGCUAUGUAAGUCUGCUGUUAAAGAGUGAGGCUCAACCUCAUAAGAGCAGUGGAAACUACAUGGCUAGAGUGCGUUCGGGGCAGAGGGAAUUCCUGGUGUAGCGGUGAAAUGCGUAGAGAUCAGGAAGAACACCGGUGGCGAAAGCGCUCUGCUAGGCCGCAACUGACGCUGAGGAGCGAAAGCGUGGGGAGCGAACAGG